AUUGAACGCUGGCGGCAGGCUUAACACACGCAAGUCGAGCGGGGGAAGGUAGCUUGCUACUGGACCUAGCGGCGGACGGGUGAGUAAUGCUUAGGAAUCUGCCUAUUAGUGGGGGACAACAUCUCGAAAGGGAUGCUAAUACCGCAUACGUCCUACGGGAGAAAGCAGGGGAUCUUCGGACCUUGCGCUAAUAGAUGAGCCUAAGUCGGAUUAGCUAGUUGGUGGGGUAAAGGCCUACCAAGGCGACGAUCUGUAGCGGGUCUGAGAGGAUGCUCCGCCACACAGGGACUGAAAAACGGGCCAGACUCCUACGGGAGGCAGCAGUGGGGAAUAUUGGACAAUGGGGGGAACCCUGAUCCAGCCGUGCCGCGUGUGUGAAGAAGGCCUUAUGGUUGUAAAGCACUGUAAGCGAGGAGGAGGCUACUCUAGUUAAUACCUAGGGAUAGUGGACGUUACUCGCAGAAUAAGCACCGGCUAACUCUGUGCCAGCAGCCGCCGUAA
rnacentral:rRNA from 1 species